rnacentral:rRNA from 1 species
UACGUAGGGAGCAAGCGUUGUCCGGAAUCAUUGGGCGUAAAGCGCGCGUAGGUGGCUUCGUAAGUCCGUUGUGAAAGUCAAAGGCUCAACCUUUGAAAGCCGAUGGAUACUGCGAAGCUAGAGUACGGAAGAGGCGAGUGGAAUUCCUGGUGUAGCGGUGGAAUGCGCAGAUAUCAGGAGGAACACCAAUAGCGAAGGCAGCUCGCUGGGACGUUACUGACACUGAGGCGCGAAAGCGUGGGGAGCAAACAGG